CCGAAGGCAGUCGCUUAACCAACUGAGCCACCCAGGCGCCCGUCUGUGAGGGUUCUAACACAAAGCGUCUGUUGUCCUCAGGACGCAUUACCAUCCUGGCAUCAAUGUGCAUAGAGUAUUGCCAAUCUCAGAAGCUCACUGAAGCUUUGGUGUGUAGAUUUUUUGUUGUGUCUGCAGUAUAUAAACAUAAGCAGUUGAUUGCCCAAAUGAUUGUUCCAGAUGACUAAUACCACAUGACCCCAAAUUCCCCAUCCUCAGUUACAUGGUUUGUCUUUUUUAGUGUAGCUAACUGCUGCCCUAAACAAACAUACUUUUAUCAGGUAUUACAUAGAUGUCUCCAAGAAACCAAAGGCAAGGGCAAUUCUCUUGGGCAAAGCCAAGUUCUAUACCACACAGUAUCCUUCACCCAGGUUCUCCAAUCGAUAACACUUUAUUGCACUUGCUUUAUCCUUCACUCUCAUCCUUCUACCCCUCCCCUCCUCUUCCUCCUCCUCUUCUUUUUUCCCCCGUCUCUCUUUGCUGUUGUUUUUGUUGUAAUAUUACAUAUGUCUUCUUAUCAUGUUCAGGUUUUUCCUCUACUUCCUUGAACAUACGGAAUAUUAGUAGCUAUUUUAAUGAUCUUGUCUGCAAUGGUUCUCCAUUUGGGGCAGUUUUACCUUUAGGGAACAUUCGGCAACGUCUGCAGACAUUUUUGUGUCACAUCUAAUGGAUAUAGGCCAGGGAUGCUACUAAACAUUCUACAUUAUAUACAACAAAGAAUUAUCAAGUGCAAAGUGUCAACAGUGCUGAGAUUGAGAAAGCCUGGCCUAGGGCUCAUUUGGCUCCAGAGGCAUUACCAUUCUAAGCACUCUGCCUAAUGCUUUUUCUACUAGCAAAUCUUUCUGUUACAUCUGGUGAGAUGAGAACAAAAACUAUACCUGGCCAAGUGUAAGUUGCUUCACAAACUCCUUUCUAGUGAAUUUUUUCCCUGGCCUUGGUAGAUUCCGCAUUGCACAGAUUAGUCUUAUGCCGUAGGUUUUAGGGGAUCCUUCCAAAGAUCUCCAGAGCACUUCUUUCUGUUCAUCUCAUCCUCUUUUGUAUUUUGCGUCACAAAUUCUAGUCACAGUAGCCUAUGCAAACCCUGAAUUCUGUCUCUUCAGGGAGGCCACUGAGUUAUCUGGAAUUCCUUCCCCCUGUGUGGUAUAGUUUGGAAACUUCAUGCAAUGAGCUAAAGCACUCAACUGGUUUGUUUUCACUCUCAGGUAUUACUAUGCUGUACUGCUUUUUGUCCAUUGUCUGAAACCUAAGUCAUGUAUUUUAUUUUUUCCAUUGUUCUAGUUCUUUAAUGUAGAAUGGCACAUCGGAUUCCUGUUACUACAGAAGUAGAAAUCCAUUAUUUAUUUUCAUGUUCAAAUUGUCCUUAAUUUGGCCAGUGGGAGCCUACUCAGUCUGUGUCUUGUGUUCUUUUCCCAUCUAACAGUAAGAAAGAUGGUUCCCAUUAUCCACAAAACCCUAGAAUACAGUUUUAGAGUUGCUAACUGAUGCCUCCGCAAAAUAAAAGUCUACUAGCUGAAGUUCAGUAUAAGUUUAGAGUUCUUUUUUCUUUUGCUUGAAGACAUAUGUUCUCAAAACUAAGUUUGAAAGUUGCCUGGGAUGAUGUCAUCAAAAAUGAUGGAGUAAAGUUGUACAGAAAUUAUUUUCCCCAUAAAAACCACUGAGAACACUGUCUGUGUUAUCAGAAUGAACUUUUUUAGAACUAUGGCAUUAACCACAGGUUUACUACAAUCCAGGGAGUAUUUUUCAAGAAAAAUGGAUGAGUCUUGAUAGAACAGUAAUCUUUGUGACAUUUUAACUUUCCCUAUUUUCAUCUUUCACUCCUCAGAUCCAUGAUAGUUUUGAAAACCAACAGCCAACAAUCACAGUGAAAACCAGCAGCCUGGCAGCCACUAGGAGAAACAGAACAGGGUUGGAGCUUCUUCAACGAUAUAUUCACUGAGAAUUGUCAUUAUUUGACAAAUACGGUAGUUCACUGGAAGACCCCACUUGACUGAGAACUUGCUCAGUGCGAAAGCCUUUUUCCUGAUAUUUUCAAAAACAAUCAGAGGUACCUGGCUAACGUACAUUUCCCAGCUUCUUGCAGUUAGGCAAACGCUGACCAAUGGAAUCAGGAUGUUGACAUCCUGGGCUCCCUUGCAAGAUAGCUUUUGAAGACAAAGUUUCCGCCAGCCAGGGUCCUUGCAUGAUUGCGUGGAGCAGGUCCCCUCAACCCGAUCCCACCACCUGUUGAACUUUACAUGAGCAACAAAACUACCUGAAAAAGGAAGAGGCAACUCGGAAGUACCCAGGAGGCCCAUCCACUUACUGGUGACAACUGUGCCAUUCCCAGGAAUAUCUCGGUCGGCUUGGUAAGAAAUCUGAUGUCCCUUGGUUUUUCACUCUUUGGGGGAAUCUUAGCAGCACCCUGUGAUCAUAAUCUCUGACAUCUGCUCUGUAUGCUGUGCUGUGAUUUUGAAAAAGAAAACAUUACUUUCACAGGAUAUUAACUGAAGACAAAUUCCAAGCAAAACCAUUUCCAUUUUACAAUAGCAACUACCUCCCACCUCCAACUAGACUAUCAGUUGCAAGAGGCGUUUUGCUUAUUUUGUUUAUUGCUGAAUCUCCAGGUCCUAGAACAGUGCCUGGCAAGUGGCCAAAGUUCAGUGAAUAUUUGUUGAAUAAGUGAAUAAAUGACAACUAUGGAAAUCUGCAGUAAAGUGUGAAAAAGGAUAAUAAAAUUAGCACUACAAAUGUACAUGUGAUAAGUAAAUUCUGUAUUUAUAAUCAGUUCUUGUUUAACCACGUGAAUGAGUAGAAAGUAUCCCAAAUAAAAAAAAAAAAAUCCUAUGUACUUAUUAAGAACUUUGAAUUCAUCAAUAGGUUUCUUCUUAAACACUUUCCUAAGAUGUAAAGUGGAGAAAUAAUUCUAGAAGCAUACACCCAGAUUAGAUAAAUAAUUUGUAACUUCGCUAUCUUGAAAACAAUGGCAUGACUGUAAUAAUAUCCUAGGGAGUGCAAUGGAGGGAGUGAUGCAAGACUUAAGAAUGAAAAUGGUCCGCAUGCCCAGGAGACCACAUUCCACUUCGCAGCUCUUGCCCCAUUUCCCAACUCUUGUCUGCAUGGACCGAGAGCGGUCAGACCAGGCACAAGACCAGCGCCUGAAGCGAGAUGGGGCAGCGAGGCCGCGGAGAUCCCAGCCAGUACCUGGCCAAGCAGUUUUCCUCCGCAGCGCAUCUCAGGUUGUACAUGGCCAUCUUUUGCACCAAGAACAACUGUAUUUUCCUUUGGGAAAAAUCCCCUACCCAGUUGCAUGGUAGGACUGACUGAGCAUUCAUGAGACUUCUGCCUCUUCAAGCAGUGGCAGUGAGAUCCCAGUUUGGCUCAUCAAACCAUCUCCCUACCAUUGGAAUCAUGAGCAGAUGGACACAAGGCUCAAAAAUGCUGGAGCUCACACUCCCCGCUACUGAAGAAAGUUUCUACGAGUUCUUGCUACACAGAUUCCCCCUGAGCUCUUUCAGACCUGUACCUUCCAAGGCGUGAUUGUUCAGCUUUUCCUUCCUUUUCUCCAUUGCAGUCCUUUGUGGCUUGACACUGUCAGAGUCAAUUGCUGUUGGUUGCCACUUUAAGAACCUGGACUGAGGGCGCCUGGGUGGCUCAGUUGGUUAAGCGA